UACGUAGGGGGCGAGCGUUAUCCGGAAUUACUGGGCGUAAAGCGCACGCAGGCGGUUCGCCAAGUUUGGAGUGACAGUUGUCGGCUCAACCGACAAAGGACUUCAAAAACUGGUGAACUUGAGGACGAGAGAGGAACAUGGAACUCCAGGUGUAGUAGUGAAAUGCGUAGAUAUCUGGAAGAACACCAAUGGCGAAGGCAAUGUUCUGGCUCGUUUCUGACGCUCAGGUGCGAAAGCCAGGGGACGCGAACGG
rnacentral:rRNA from 1 species